UACGAAGGUGGCAAGCGUUGUUCGGAAUUACUGGGCGUAAAAGGGGCUCGUAGGCGGGCCCCGCUAAGUCGAACGUGAAAUCCCCCGAGCUCAACUCGGGGAACUGCGUCCGAUACUGGCGGGCUUGAAUCCGGGAGAGGGGAUGCGGAAGUUCCAGGUGUAGCGGUGAAAGUGCGUAGAUAUCUGGAGGAACACCGGUGGCGAGGCGGCAUCCUGGACCGGCAUUGACGCUGAGCGGCGAAAGCUGAGGGGGAGCAAACGGGG
rnacentral:rRNA from 1 species